rnacentral:rRNA from 1 species
GGAAUAUUGGACAAUGGGGGCAACCCUGAUCCAGCCAUGCCGCGUGUGUGAAGAAGGCCUUCGGGUUGUAAAGCACUUUCAGUAGGGAGGAAAGGUAGCGUGUUAAUAGCACGUUACUGUGACGUUACCUACAGAAGAAGGACCGGCUAACUCCGUGCCAGCAGCCGCGGUAAUACGGAGGGUCCGAGCGUUAAUCGGAAUUACUGGGCGUAAAGCGUGCGCAGGCGGUUUGUUAAGCAAGAUGUGAAAGCCCCGGGCUCAACCUGGGAAUUGCAUUUUGGACUGGCAAACUAGAGUCUUGUAGAGGGGGGUAGAAUUCCAGGUGUAGCGGUGAAAUGCGUAGAGAUCUGGAGGAAUACCGGUGGCGAAGGCGGCCCCCUGGACAAAGACUGACGCUCAGGCACGAAAGCGUGGGGAGCAAACAGGAUUAGAUACCCCUG